GGGAGAUUUAAGAGAGAUCGGAUCUCUGCAAAUGAUGAAGAGGACCUCCAGAGGCCAGGCUGACUCUGAAUUCUUGAAUAGUACUGACUGGUACAGCAGUUUAAACAGGCACCAUGCUCUGCGUG